CAAAAACAUAGCUAUAUGAAAAAAUAUAUAGUAUUUUCUGCUCAAUGAUAACUUAAAUAGCCGCAGUACUCUGACUGUGCUAAGGUAGCGCAAUCAAUUGACUUUUAAAUGAAGUCCUGUAUGAAGGAAAGUAUGGGGGGCUACUUUAUCAUUAAUAAUAAUUGAAUUUACUUAUGAAGUGAAAAUUCUUCAAUUUAAAUAAAAGACGAGAAGACCCUAGAAAUUUUAAGAGACACUUUUUGUUGGGGCAACAAAGUAGUAUUUAAUCUACUAUUAUUACACGAAAUUUAUAUUUGGUAAGAAUAAAUUACUCUAGGGAUAACAGCAUAAUUUGCGAAAGUUUGUGACCUCGAUGUUGGAUUAGGGAAUUUACAUUUAGAAGAUAAUUAAUGAGCUCUGUUC
rnacentral:rRNA from 1 species